UUUUUUUUUUUUUUUUUGUUUUUUUUUUUUUUUUUUUUUUUUUGCGGGGCAGAAUCCU
rnacentral:ribozyme from 11 species